UGGCUCUCGCAUCGAUGAAGAACGCAGCGAAUUGCGAUAUGUUAAUGUGAAACGCAGAACAGUGAAUCAUCGAAACUUUGAACGCACCUUGCGCUCUCCGGUUCUCCGGAGAGCAUGCCUGUUUGAGUGUCGCUAAACAACCAUAGACCCCAAAGGUCUGAUUCGGAUGUGUGCCGUGGCUUACGGCUCCGUCUUAGAUGCAAUUGGAAUGUGGCCUACUUGGCGUCUUUCUGGGAAGACAUUUGAUUGUAAACACUUUCAUGCGUCUCUUUCCCUCAAGCGUCCGAGUGGCUCCCCUCUGUGGCUGCCCUUGUGGUGUCGCGGUGUUUGGAAACUGUCUAGUGAUCGUGGCCUCAGAUCAGGUAGGACUACCCGCUGA
rnacentral:misc_RNA from 1 species